rnacentral:tRNA from 1 species
AAUAAAAUGGCUGAGGAAUUAAAUAAGCGAUAAAUUGUAAAUUUAUUAACGAGAUAAAUAUCUCUUUUAUUA